rnacentral:rRNA from 1 species
GGUCAAACGGGGAGAGUCAUUUGAAACUGGGAGACUUGAAUGCAGAAGAGGAGAGUGGAAUUCCAUGUGUAGCGGUGAAAUGCGUAGAUAUAUGGAGGAACACCAGUGGCGAAGGCGGCUCUCUGGUCUGUAACUGACGCUGAGGCUCGAAAGCGUGGGGAGCAAACAG